AUUCCUGAGGAGCGCUGCGACGACCCGGGCCGUGUCCACGGCAUGCCGGUCGCCAGGCUCAGGAAAUCCUUGUUCACGCGCCGCACAUCGCGCGGCGCCGCAGCAACGGCGCUCACCUUUG
rfam:Bordetella pertussis strain Tohama I, complete genome